rnacentral:rRNA from 1 species
UGGAGAUGGCGCACGGGUGCGUAACGCGUGAGCAACCUGCCUCCAUCAGGGGGAUAGCCUCUCGAAAGAGAGAUUAACACCGCAUAAUUAAUGUUCCGGCGUCGGUCUAUUAUUAAAUAUUUAUAGGACGGAGAUGGGCUCGCGUGGCACUAGCUAGUUGGUGGGAUAACGGCCCACCAAGGCGACUAUGUCUAGGGGCUCUGAGAGGAGAACCCCCCACACUGGUACUGAGACACGGUCAAGACUCAUACGGGAGGCAGAAGUAAGGAAUAUUGGUCAAUGGGCGGAAGCCUGAACCGGCCAUGCCGCGUGCAGGAUGACUGCCCUAUGGGUUGUGAACUGCUUUUGGCCGGGAAUAAACCUCCGUACGAGUACGGAGGUGAGUGUGCCGGAGGAAUAAGGAUCGGCUAACUCCGUGGCAGAAGCCGCGGUAAUACGGAGGAUCCGAGCGUUAUCCGGAUUUAUUGGGUUUAAAGGGUGCGUAGGCGGCCUGUUAAGUCAGGGGUGAAAUACCGGUGGCUAAACCAUCGCAGUGCCUUUGAUACUGACGGGCUUGAAUCCAUAUGAAGUGGGCGGAAUAAGACAAGUAGCGGUGAAAUGCAUAGAUAUGUCUUAGAACUCCGAUUGCGAAGGCAGCUCACUAAGCUGGUAUUGACGCUGAUGCACGAAAGCGUGGGGAUCGAACAGGAUUAGAUACCCUGGUAGUCCACGCCCUAAACGAUGAUAACUCGAUGUUGGCGAUAGACAGCCAGCGUCCCAGCGAAAGCGUUAAGUUAUCCACCUGGGGAGUACGCCCGCAAGGGUGAAACUCAAAGGAAUUGACGGGGGCCCGCACAAGCGGAAGAACAUGUGGUUUAAUUCGAUGAUACGCGAGGAACCUUACCCGGGCUUGAAAGUUAGUUGAAGAUGCAAGAAACGCACCCGUUCCUUCGGGACACGAAACUAGGUGCUGCAUGGCUGUCGUCAGCUCUUGCCGUGAGGUGUUGGGUUAGUCCCGCACCAACGCAACCCCUAUUUUUAUUUCCAGCAUGUUAUGGUGGGGACUCUAACCAAACUGCCUGUCCAACAUUUGAGAAAGUGGGGACAACGUCAAUCAUCAUG